rnacentral:rRNA from 1 species
GAGUUUGAUCGUGGCUCAGGAUGAACGCUGGCGGCGUGCCUAAUACAUGCAAGUCGAGCGAACAGACGAGGAGCUUGCUCCUCUGACGUUAGCGGCGGACGGGUGAGUAACACGUGGAUAACCUACCUAUAAGACUGGGAUAACUUCGGGAAACCGGAGCUAAUACCGAAUAAUAUAUUGAACCGCAUGGUUCAAUAGUGAAAAACGGUUUUGCUGUCACUUAUAGAUGGAUCCGCGCCGCAUUAGCUAGUUGGUAGGGUAACGGCUUACCAAGGCGACGAUGCGUAGCCGACCUGAGAGGGUGAUCGGCCACACUGGAACUGAGACACGGUCCAGACUCCUACGGAGGCAGCAGUAGGAAUCUUCCGCAAUGGGCGAAAGCCUGACGGAGCAACGCCGCGUGAGUGAUGAAGGUCUUCGGAUC